rnacentral:rRNA from 1 species
CAUUAGAUACCCCACUAUGCUUAGCCCUAAACUUAGAUAGUUACCCUAAACAAAACUAUCCGCCAGAGAACUACUAGCAAUAGCUUAAAACUCAAAGGACUUGGCGGUGCUUUACAUCCCUCUAGAGGAGCCUGUUCUAGU